rnacentral:lncRNA from 1 species
AAUUCUACAGGGAAUUUGGAAGUCAACAAAAAAACUCCCAUAUUUUUCUGACCUUUAAAAUAUUUUUUAUGAAUUUUUUAAGGUGUUUAUGAUUUUUUAAUAAUUAUUUGAAUAUAUUAAUUAAGUUUCAUUAAAAGCAAUUUCGUAAAUACUGCAACAGUGGCGCGGUAAACAUCCAUUUCAAACUUUCAAACGGAAAUAUGGAUCAAAUGAGAUUAUUUUCCAG